UGUCUCUCUCUCCCUCCCUCCCUCCCUCCCUCUCUUUCCCUCUCCCCACAAAUCUUCCUGGCCCCUUUCCCAGUUUUGGCUCCGGGCAGUGAGAAAUUAACACUGAUUGAGUUCAGGCAACAACAAGUCGGAGGUUUUUCCCCCGAAUAAGUAAUCAGUGACCGCUCUGAAUCACCGACGACAGCACAACCACCAUUUCACUUUCAGGACGUGGGGGACGUGCGGUCUCCGUCGGCCAGCCCCGAGUGCGCGUCCGUUGGUCCCGUAACUCACUCUCCCCCGAAGUCCCCGCGGGACUCUCCCGGGCGGCGCAGCGCGGCGGGUCAGCGCCCCGGGCCCCAGUUCCGGAGCCGGCCCCCGCUUCCAGCCGUCCGGGCCGAGCCCCCCGGGCGCGCGCCCUCCCCGCCCCCCCCCCGGACCCCGGGCCGUGCAGCCGCGCCCCUCCCCGCUUCUUGGGGCUCCCCAGCCGAGGGUUUGGCCGCAGGCAGGGCUGGGAGGAGCCCGAGGAGGCCGCCAAGUUUUGCCCGGAGCAGCUUCCCCGGGAGGCUCAGAAGUGCCGAGUCAGCGCCGGCCGCCGCCGUUCCCAUUUCUGCAGCAGGAGCCCGAGGGACAGCCCCCACCCCUUCCCCGCUUCCUCCUCCCCCUCCCUCUCUCCUCCUCCCCUCAGCCGCCUUUAAUCCCAGCCUCCCACCCCGACGCCGAGCAGUCCGGAGCGCUGAACUCCCGGGCCCAACGACACCCCUCUGACACCCCUCGGACACCCCUCGGACCCCCCUCGGACACCCCGGGCCGCUCCUGCGGAGGCGAGCUCCUGUCCGGGAGCCGGGGCCAGGUGGGGAGCGCAGGUGAGAGCGAGGAGCGGCACCUCCGCGCCCGGCGCCCGCCCCCAGACUCCGAAGGACGCCAGGUUCCUGGGGGACCCCGUCUCCCCGAGCGGCCGAGCAGAUCCUGACUGAGCCCCCAGCUAAGCUGCCCCCUGCCUUGGAAGGAUGGAAGCCCAGGAGAGUGCUGUCCAGUACAGCCGAUGGAGCAACAGCCAGGAUGAGGUCAGCAUGAAUGUGUCCGCCUCGGAGAGCUCGGGCUGUGAGCGGAUCUACACCAAGCUUUGCACUGGGAAGCUGGGCAUUGCCCUGAAGUUGGUAGGCGGAAUCAUUCUGUUCUGGGUCAUCUUCAUCAUCGGCUAUGUCACCGGCUACUACAUCCACAAGUGCAAGUAGCCCUCGUCUGAGCUGCCGGACAACUUUGCAAGCCCUCCGACCGCCCAGAGACCUCUUGCUUCCUGGCUCAGACCACCGGGACAGACUGGCCCCUGGGGGCACAGCCACCUAUAGAUAUAGACACCCACACCCACACAUAUACAUACAGGGACAGAUCUAUGGACAAAUACUGAGGCCCUUUUCAGAGAAAGAGAAACACAUUCCUAGUGUGGAAGGCACACACUGAAACAGACACUGGACAGGGGAGGAGACGCACAGACACUAACACGGAGACCCUCACCCACAUCUCUCUCCCGCCCCGGCCCAGGAUAGAACUCCAGACCAAGCCAGUCACAUCCCAUCCUUGCCCUGCCGCAUCCCACCCCAGGGGGAGGCUCACAUUCAGUUACCGAAGCCCAGGACUGUAUCCCCUACUCAUCCCUUCUUCCUCGCCGACCAGACGACCGCUUCUUUUGGACCUAUGACUGCCCUAAACAGCCAGAGGUCUGAGGAAGAUGGGAGGAGCCAGAGCCCAGUUUUCUCCCUCAGAAACCCCUCUGCCAUUCUGGUUUAUGUUCAGAACAGGAGUCAGACCCAGGAUUUCUACCCAUCCUUGGUAAGAGCAAGAUCUUGACAGGAGGGGAUCAUUCAGUUAGGGAAAGCCACACAAGGAACCAUUAACCAACCGGGGCUCAGAAUCAGAAGCAAAACAACUCUUGGGGUUUUAAUUUUUGUCCAACUCUAGGUGUGUGUGUGGGGGGACAAAAUCUGCCUCCCAUUUUUUGGGACCCCUCCCUGUCCUGCCCCAGGUCACCACUCUAUUUCUUGAGAAAUUUCUUUGAGCCCGAUUUCUACAUCUAUCUGUUGAGGAGGAGAAAGGCAAGUGGCCCUUUUAUCUCCAGCAAAAUUUUUUUAAAAAGACAACAUCAGGUAUGGGGAAGGAGGUUCUUGCUUCAAAACCUGACUGACUCUCCCUUUUAUGUGCAGGAUGGAAAGUUAUUUCCAUUUCUGAGCCUCUUUUUCUUAACUGUAAGAUGAGACUAAAUGGCUCUGAAGUUCCCUUUCAUCUCUAACUACAUGGAGUCCCAGCAAAGCCAAAAAUUUCCCAUCAUCCCUAGGGAUCAGCAGGGAAAUCCAAAGCUUUACCCCCAGUGUCUGUUAAAGCUCCUUCCCUAGACCCACAGGCCCCUGGCUAUAUCACUGGCCCACUUAUGUGUGUGUGUGUGUGGGGGGGGAUGUAAUUCUGGAGCCAUUGUAAGAGGUAUCCCCUCUAAAGUUCUUCCUUUGCCCCCUCCCCUGGAUUUGCCCUCAAUUGCUGCACAAAGUCCCAGGGAAUUCUAUCCCCUGGCCUGCCCUGAAGGAAGAAAAUCCCAGUGAAAAUGAGUUGGGGGUCUGAUCUCUCUGAUGGCCCCUAGUCGCAGGUGCACAAAGAUUUUCAGAGCCAGGAGAAGCCGUCUCCAUCCUGAGGAGCCUUCCCUCCUGAUCCAUGAUCUUACCCACAAGGCAGAGGCUGAGCCACGGAGGACUGGGGCGUUCCGGGGUUGGCCCAUCCCUCUAACCCACUCCCCCAAUCUUCUCGUGCCUUUCCAGAGAAAGGCCUUGGACUGGAAGGAUUCUUUCUUAAUAAACACCCACUUGUGUGACCUCAAGCACAGGGUUCUCUCCAUGUCUUUAUUCCUCUUCCGGUGGUUCCUACAGCAGGAACAGAAUGAUUGAUCUGGACUCAGGUGCUUGUGUGGUGG
ensembl:lncRNA